rfam:Macrostomum lignano uti_cns_0000510, whole genome shotgun sequence.
AUUUUCGGGCCAUGGGUUCGGCGUCGACGGCGUCGACUAGUGUGAGUUAGUGUGAAUUGCAGGAUAUCUUGAACAUCGACAUCUUGAACGCAUAUUGCGGCCUCAGGUCUCCCCUGUAGCCACGCCCGGCUGAGGGUUG